rnacentral:rRNA from 1 species
UACGUAGGGUGCGAGCGUUGUCCGGAAUUACUGGGCGUAAAGAGCUCGUAGGUGGUUUGUCGCGUUGUUCGUGAAAACUCACAGCUUAACUGUGGGCGUGCGGGCGAUACGGGCAGACUGGAGUACUGCAGGGGGAGACUGGAAUUCCUGGUGUAGCGGUGGAAUGCGCAGAUAUCAGGAGGAACACCGGUGGCGAAGGCGGGGUCUCUGGGCAGUAACUGACGCUGAGGAGCGAAAAGCGUGGGGGAGCGAACAGG